GCAAGGAGUAGUUAGGUGGUUUGGGACCACUCAGCCCCCACCUUUCUCAGCAGCCCUUGAGGUCAACCAAAUGGCUAAACUGAAGAGCAACUUGGCAGCUAGUCAGAUAGGGGGUGGGGGGAAGAAGGGAGGAAAAGACUUGAAUUUUAACCGCCUCACCAGGGAUCUGACUCCCUGACAAUGAACAUUUAGAAGAUCCAUGCUGUGAUGGUGGUCUGUCCCUGGGAGAAGAUAAAUUUUCUUUUCCUUAUCUUCAUCCAGUGAUUCAAUUAAUGCAAAAACAAACUAAAACAACUCCAAUUGGUGUUUUCUGGGAGGGGCUGUGGAACACAGGGUUCCAGCCUAAGAGGAGCUCAUAGUCUAGUGCCUUCUUUAGGCUAUCAGCCUUGUACCCACCACUCCCUCACCUCGGCCUCUGAUAGAGGAGUAGUUGGAGACCGCGCCAGGGGAGCCACAGACAGAGAAAGCUAUGCAGAGCAGCCGAAUGAGCCACUAUGGGAAUCAGGAUUUCCUAACACAGGACAGGAAAUAUAGAGAAGGAGCUCCAGUCAAGAACAGAUACCUUUCUGGCCCUACAGGAGGAUGUAUGUUGAUGUUACUUGAUGUCACUUUCAUAAAAAUACAACUGUGUACAACUGCUCAGUAUCAUAAAAAAGUGAACCAUUAACACUAGUAUUAAUAUGGGAUUUUAGGUUCCACCUAACACCAAAAUCCAACUCUCACUUUUAAAAAAAUUUUUUCCCAUUGUCAUUUAUUGAGAUCUUGCAGUGCUCCAGGCUUUAGAGCCUAAAUAGAUGAUCCAAUUUAACCCCUCUAUCAACCCUGACAAGUAGGUAUUUUGUACAGGUAAGAAAACAGACUUAUAUGGUGAAAUGACUUGCUCAAAGUCAAAGAAAUUUGAGGAGGAUGAGUACAGAUUUGAAUACAAAACUAUGAAUCCUAAGAAUGGGCUCUCGACCCAGUGGUUUAAGUCCUGGUUGCACAGGAGAAUCACCUGAGACAUUUUAGGAAUAUUUCCUCAUCUAGGUAACACAUCUUAAAAUCAUUAACUGAAUUUGGAUGAGAGCACAUGAUUCUAAUGUGCAGUCAGUGAUAAAAUACAGGUUAAUCAAUAUCUUUAGUUCCCUAAUAUCUAAUGACAGAGCAGAUAUGAAACAUGGUUCACUUUUUCUUCUUUGCUGUGUUGUUUCAUGUAAGUCUGAAGAGAGCUGUAGCUAAUACUGAUGCCUGAUUCCCACUGCAGGCUAAGUCUUAGGAAGAGCCCAUCAGCAAGCACCACAGGUAGAACAUUGGCAAAGAAAUCUGUUUAAUGUAAGGUGAUAAAAAUUGUGUCAUUUGAUCUCACUUAUUAGCCUAGAUAUGUUCACUAAAUAAAAAUUCAAGUAAAUCAGAAGUUAGUGUGAUA
rnacentral:lncRNA from 1 species